ensembl:lncRNA
CUUGACUCUGAAGGGAUAAGUUUGUUGAAAUUGAUCUCAAACCUGUCUGCAAACACUGCUAUGAGAAAAUGCCAGAUGAAUUUAAGCGACGCCUUGCCAAACGGGAACGUGAAGCGAAGGAGAAAGAGAAGCAGAAAAAGAAAAAGCCCAUCUGUUUGUAGACUUUUCUUCUUCUCACCACCACCUGUGCUCCUUUCUUCUUUGAAAUAAAUUUGUUGAGUUUGACAUGAAGCCUGUCUGCAAAAAGUGCUAUGAGAAGUUUCCUCUAGAGCUGAAGAAGAGACUGAAGAAAUUAGCUGAAACCGUGGGAAGGAAGUGAAGACUUGGUCUGCUCUCCCCUUUCCUUAUGAAAAUGAAAAAUGACAAAUGAAAAUUUCCCUUAUGAAAAACUCAAUCUGUCACUUGGGAGGGACUCUGAGGCUGUAAUCAGACUACAGAUUACGAUGCAGGCCUUUCGUCUUGACAUUCUCCAUUCUCUCUGUGAGUACAUGUGUAUGGAUUUGUUGAUAAACAGGCCACGCUUCUGUCAACUCACCUGAAAGGUUUCUGGCCCUGCUAAUGCACCGAUACAAGUGGGCCAUUGCACGCAGUAAUCCCUGAGGAAGUUUAGAUUGAGAAAAUGUGCUUGUGAGUACCUGCAAAUACACACUGUGCAAAUGUGCCCAACGUUAGGGGCGUGUGGUGUCAUUUGCAUUAAUGAACAGAUCAGUGUGCAAAUUAAGCAGGCGUGCAAAAUUUCCCGUGGCCUGGGCAAGAAACCAAACAUACCUCAUUUCCCAGAAAAAAUAAUGCUUAGAUUUCAGGUCAGGUAGUCCCGUUGAGGAGCCUUGUUUAAGGUGGUUUGAAAAGUCAAUACAGUCACUGUAGAAAUGACCUACUUCUGAUAGUUUGUACUUACACGCUGAAUUUUUGUACAUCAGACUUAGCAUGAAAUGUCUGUAUGAAGUCUAAUUCCCGCUGCAAGAAACGAGCAUACUCAGAUCUACUUGAAUUUUGCCAUAUUCCAUUCAGAAUAACACAUUAACUUUAUGUAAGCUUUGCAUUUUAUUUACUUUUUGUGCCUUAUUCUGCUGGACCAUAUGUAACAGUGUUCCACUAAAUAUAUAUAUAUAUAUAUAUAUAUGUAUGUAUAGUUUUAUUGUUAUUUCUUAUUUUUGUGCAGAAACUAUGCACGAAGUAUUUUGAAAAGAUAACAAAAUCUGCCUUAACUAUGCAGGAUGCAAGAAGGAUUUUCUUUCGAGCGCGAAUGCCUGAGGUUAAAGUUUAGCUUCUAGGCUUCCCUGACUUCUGGAACAGCAGUGAAAAUGCGUAUUUGAGUUAACUGGCAACGUUACUUUUGCACUGCGAGUGUAAAUGUGUGAGGUUUGAUCCUCCCAGGAUCUAUUUCUUCAGCCAUCUUCAAGAACUGUGCUCACAAAUGGUCAGAAUUCACUGUAGUAUGCUUGGGAUCGUUGUGUCCUAUUGACGUCUGUCCAUGAAAAUUUGUUUUUCCCUUUUCUGUCAGAAAUACCGCUACUUAGGAAUUCUUGAUGGUACUGUGUUACCAAGCGUGCAAACCUUUUUUUUUUUUCCCAUAUUAGAGACACAGUUUUUAUGUAAUUACAUCGUAGCAAGCAAAAAACAGCUUUCCAGUGCCAUUAAUAAAGGCUACGUUAUUAAAUCCUGCUUCACCUCUCUUACGCGACCGCUUGAGAUGGGUGGCAAAGCAUCUCGGCAGCCUUCCUUCGCUCUGCUUCUACCUGUGGCUGUAUGUAAAACUCGUUUACUGUCCUGACUUAGGACAGGCAUAUGUCUCCUCUAAGCAUGC